UUCUAUCUCUCUAAUUCUCCCUCAUUUUUAACCUUUCCUUUCUCAUUUCCAUCUAGGGUCCACUCACCAUAUUCAUGGUGGUGGAGAGAAUUAGAUCUAGGGAUGAAAACUUUUUCUCUUCUUGAUUUCUUGCAUUCUCAAAUGGAAUCUAAAGCCUGUUAUGCUCAAUUUCUUCUCUGGUUUGAUCUUUGCAUGAAUGGCGCGAUUGACAGCUGUCGACGUGAUUCUGCUACCCACCGCUAAAUUCAGUAAUAUCGUUUUCGGAUGGUGGCGUGACCGCGAAAUAGCGGCCGCUAUAGCACUAGCGGUCCGCUAUUUGAAACCCUGAUAAAUGAUGGUACGGGUUCUGUCGUGUCCAUCUUGUGUUGAUACGGUGACAAUUGGAUUUGCUUGAUGCUUUUGGUUGUAAUUUAUGAGUACUGUGAGCAGGAAGAUGGUGUCUUGAUCGAUGCAAAAAUAAAGAUACAUAUUGAU